rnacentral:lncRNA from 1 species
AAAUGAAAAGGUGGCCACUUUUAUUGGGACGGAGGGAGUAUUAGAUAUAGGCAAAUUACAGAUACGAACUUACAACAUGGGGUCAAAGCUGAACACGAAAUUAUAGAAAUCUGGAAUUGAAAUGUUAUUAUCACGAAGCAGUCGACUCCUCAUCAAGCAUUUCAAUCACCUUUGCAACACCUGCAGCAACUUCCUAGUUGAUCACACCAUCAGGCAUAUCAAAAGUUCUCCUCUUCAUCAACGACGGUUUUCCUGGAGGUUGAGGGUCCACAACAUCGAGCAUCGCUUCCAGCUCGUCCACCAUAGAUUUUUUUGCAGCUCGAACCAUCAAAUCUGCACCCU